rnacentral:rRNA from 1 species
AUGGAGGCGCCGCCGGACUGGCCCUCCGCCCGGGUAAGGGAGUCCUUCAUCGGCUUCUUCGAGUCCAAGGCGCACACGCCGUGGCCGUCCAGCCCCGUGCUGCUCGUGGACGACCCCACGCUCCUCUUCGCCAACGCCGGGAUGAACCAGUUCAAGCCAGUCUUCCUGGGCACGGCCGCCCCGGACUCGCCGCUCGGCCGCCUGCGCCGCGCCUGCAACACCCAGAAGUGCAUCCGCGCCGGCGGCAAGCACAACGACCUCGACGACGUUGGCAAGGACACCUACCACCACACCUUCUUCGAGAUGCUCGGCAACUGGUCAUUCGGGGACUACUUCAAGGAUGGGGCCAUCGCAUACGCAUGGCAACUACUCACACAGGUCUACAAAUUGCCCACUGAUAGGAUUUAUGCAACAUACUUCGGUGGUGAUGACAAGGCUGGUCUCGCUCCUGAUACCUCCAAGGACAUAUGGUUGAAGUAUUUACCGAAUGAAAGAGUUCUGCCUUUCAGUUGCAAGGAUAACUUUUGGGAGAUGGGCGACACAGGUCCUUGUGGCCCAUGCACAGAGAUUCAUUUUGAUCGUAUUGGCAACCGUGACGUAGCCUCAUUGGUCAAUAAUGAUGACCCUACAUGUAUUGAGAUAUGGAAUCUUGUGUUUAUUCAGUUCAACAGGGAGCCAGACGCUACUUUGAGAUCCUUGCCAGCAAAACACGUUGACACCGGAAUGGGCUUUGAGCGUUUAACUUCUAUCCUUCAGAAUAAAAUGAGCAAUUACGACACAGAUGUAUUCAUGCCAUUAUUCGAUGCCAUCCACAAGCUGGCAGGCGCUGGAAUUCAACCAUACUCUGGUAAAGUAGGAUCCGAUGAUGUUGGGAAAGUUGAUAUGGCAUAUAGGGUUGUUGCAGAUCACAGAAGAACCCUUUCUUUUGCUAUUGCUGAUGGUUCUCAACCUGGAAAUGAGGGAAGAGAGUAUCUUCUAAGGCGUAUACUUAGACGUGCUGUUCACUUUGGUCAUAAAAAAUUGAUGGCAAAGCAAGGAUUUUUUAGCUCCCUUGUAGAUGUUUUUGUCCGAGUGAUGGUUGAUGUGUUUCCUGAGCUGAAGGACAAUGAAAAGAAGAUUAAAGAUAUAAUUAAAGAAGAAGAUCCAAGCUUUGAGAACACUCUAGCGAUGGGAUAUGAGAGAUUUAAGAAAGCUGCAGAUGCUGUCAAGGAGAAUGGCAGGACAGUACUUAGUGUCUAGGAUGCAUUUGUUCUGUGGGACACAUAUGGCUAUCCAAUUGAUUUGACUAAGGUCAUGGCAGUUGACUUCGGGCUAUCUGUUGACAUGGAGGGUUUUAAUGUUUCUAUGGAAGAAGCAAGACAAAAGGCUAGGAAUGCUCGCUACAAGGUUGUAUUUAUUUCUUCUUAA